rnacentral:rRNA from 1 species
ACGGGAGGCAGCAGUGAGGAAUAUUGGUCAAUGGGCGGAAGUCUGAACCAGCCAAGUCGCGUGAAGGAUGAAGGUAUUAUGUAUUGUAAACUUCUUUAGCUGUGGAGCAAUAAGGGCUAUGUAUAGCCUGAUGAGAGUACACAGAGAAUAAGGAUCGGCUAACUCCGUGCCAGCAGCCGCGGUAAUACGGAGGAUCCGAGCGUUAUCCGGAUUUAUUGGGCUUAAAGGGUGCGCAGGCGGCUUUCUAAGUCAGUGGUCAAAUCGUGGUGCUCAACGCCAUCCCGCCAUUGAUACUGGAGAGCUUGAUUGCGGUCGAGGUUUGCGGAAUUCGUCGUGUAGCGGUGAAAUGCAUAGAUAUGACGAAGAACACCGAUUGCGUAGGCAGCAGACCAGGCCGUAAAUGACGCUCAUGCACGAAAGUGCGGGGAUCGAACAGGAUUAGAUACCCUGGUA